rnacentral:rRNA from 1 species
AUGGACCGUCGCAAGGAAGUUACCGCUGCUAAGUUAACCGAUGAUCUAGUGGUCGAUAUCCUCUCCCGCUUGACAUACAAGGACUUUUGCCGCUGCAAAUGUGCCUAUAAGGCCUGGUCUGCCUUCUCCUCCGAUCCAGACUACCGCAAGAGGCUGCCCAAAAAAGUAACCACUGGACUUCUGUACCAAGCCCGCAAUACGUCUGCUAUCCCGCUUGUUAGCCUGUCCCGAGAUGAUGGAGAAAUCGAUGGAAUUCUUGCUGACGUGCCACACUAUGAGCAUUUAGAGUUUCUUGACUGCUGCAAUGGUCUAGUCCUCUGCAAGUACAAGAGCAGCUAUACUUCUCCAGGCAUUUGCCGCUUUGUUGUGUGCAACCCAGCAACACGAGAGUGGAGAAUACUUCCUGAUACUUUUGUUGGGACUGAUGGCCACCGUCGUACAACUAUUUUGGCCUUUGAUCCUUCAUGGUCACCACACUUCUAUGUCUUCAGCUUUAAUCGCAUUUUGGCGGGCAAAGUUGAGAUGUUUUCGUCUGCCGGUUCCGCGUGGCUUGUGGAUGAUGAAUGGGAUUCUGAUAUAGCUUUUUCAUGGGGGAAGCCUCACUUAUUUCUUAAUGGAAUGUUGUGCGUGGAGAUUAGGGGACAGCAAGUUUUGGUGUUUGAAGGUUUGGAGACAAUGAGCGAUGGCAUACUGCCCUAUCAUUACACCAUUGACUUGCCAUUUGACUGUGCACCCGUGAGUAGUUUCACUGAUGGCUGCUUUGACAAAUCUUCAGGGAUCUUACACUACGCAUUGCCAGAUAGGAGUGGUCAUUCCAUUGUAGUUUGGACUUUGGAGGAUUAUGCUCAUCGUUUAUGGCAUUGGACCCUGAAGUGCCAUCUUAACAUGGCAGAUGCAUUUGGAAGGAAAGACUUGGUUUGCUAUGACAAUGGAGGCAUCGGUGGUGUCCCUGACUGGUUUUGGAACUGCGAUUAUCGGAUUCUCGCUCUCGAGUUGGAGAGAGAGCUUGUUGUCCUCUCUGACCAUAAGACAAUGAAGCUUAUCUCUUACAAUAUCAGCACCGGGGAACUUAACGAGAUACGAGACGGCCUUGAGGGGUAUCGGUACUAUGUGCCAUGCUACUCAGAGCUUCCAGCCCAAGAACCUUCGGUGUAG